rnacentral:rRNA from 1 species
AUUGAACGCUGGCGGCAGGCUUAACACAUGCAAGUCGAGCGAGCGGCGGACGGGUGAGUAAUGUAUGGGAAACUGCCUGAUGGAGGGGGAUAACUACUGGAAACGGUAGCUAAUACCGCAUACCAUCAGAUGUGCCCAGAUGGGAUUAGGUAGUAGGUGGGGUAAUGGCUCACCUAGGCGACGAUCCCUAACUGGUCUGAUAGGAUGACGAGCCACAAUGGAACGAAGAAACGGCGCAGACUCCUACGAGAGGAAGCAGUGGGGAAUAUUGCACAAUGGGCGCAAGCCGUAUGCAGCCAUGCCGCGUGUUUGAAGAAGGCCUUCGGGUGGUAAAGCACUUUCAGCGAGGAGGCGUUACUCGCAGAAGAAGCACCGGCUAACUCCGUGCCAGCAGCCGCGGUAAUUC